rnacentral:tRNA from 1 species
GCACCCGUAGCUCAACUGGAUAGAGUAUCUGACUACGGAUCAGAAGGUUAGAGGUUCAAAUCCUCUCGGGUGCGCCA